rnacentral:rRNA from 1 species
UUGAACGCUGGCGGCAUGCCUUACACAUGCAAGUCGAACGGUAACGGGCCUUCGGGUGCCGACGAGUGGCGACCGGGUGAGUAAUACAUCGGAACGUGCCCGAUCGUGGGGGAUAACGAGGCGAAAGCUUUGCUAAUACCGCAUACGAUCUACGGAUGAAAGCAGGGGACCGCAAGGCCUUGCGCGGACGGAGCGGCCGAUGGCAGAUUAGGUAGUUGGUGGGAUAAAAGCUUACCAAGCCGACGAUCUGUAGCUGGUCUGAGAGGAUGAUCAGCCACACUGGGACUGAGACACGGCCCAGACUCCUACGGGAGGCAGCAGUGGGGAAUUUUGGACAAUGGGCGCAAGCCUGAUCCAGCCAUGCCGCGUGCAGGAUGAAGGCCUUCGGGCUGUAAACUGCUUUUGUACGGAACGAAAAGCCUUCUUUUAAUACAGGAGGGUCAUGACGGUACCGUAAGAAUAAGCACCGGCUAACUACGUG